rnacentral:rRNA from 1 species
AUUGAACGCUAGCGGCAGGCUUUACACAUGCAAGUCGAGCGAGAGGCGGACGUGUUGGUUAUGAAUGGGAACCUGCCUGGUGGAUGGGUAUACCUACUGGUAACUGUAGCUAAUACCGCAUACCAUCAGCUGUGUCCAGAUGGGAGUAGCUAGUGGGUGGGGUAAUGGCUCACCUCGGCGCAGAUCCCUAGCUGGUCUGAGAGGAUGACCAGCCACCCUGGGACUGAGACACGGUCCAGACUCCUACGGGAGGCAGCAGUGGGGAAUAUUGCACAAUGGGCGCAAGCCUGAUGCAGCCAUGCCGCGUGUGUGAAGAAGGCCUUCGGGUUGUAAAGCACUUUCAGCGGGGAGGCGGUACUCGCAGAAGAAGCACCGGCUAACUCCGUGCCAGCAGCCGCGGUAAUAC